GACGAAGGGGGCUAGCGUUGUUCGGAAUUACUGGGCGUAAAGCGUGCGCAGGCGGCUUUGCAAGACAGAUGUGAAAUCCCCGGGCUUAACCUGGGAAUGGCAAUGGAUACUGGCAAGCUAGAGUGCGGUAGAGGGUAGUGGAAUUCCCGGUGUAGCGGUGAAAUGCGUAGAUAUCUGGAGGAACAUCAGUGGCGAAGGCGGCUUCCUGGUCCAACACUGACACUGAGGUGCGAAAGCGUGGGGAGCAAACAGG
rnacentral:rRNA from 1 species